rnacentral:rRNA from 1 species
AUUGAACGCUGGCGGCAGGCCUAACACAUGCAAGUCGAGCGGGGUUUUCGGACCUAGCGGCGGACGGGUGAGUAAUGCGUAGGAAGCUGCCCGAUAGAGGGGGAUACCAGUUGGAAACGACCGUUAUUACCGCAUAAUGUCUACGGACCAAAGUGUGGGACCUUCGGGCCACAUGCUAUCGGAUGCGCCUACGCAGGAUUAGCUAGUUGGUGAGGUAAUGGCUCACCAAGGCGACCGUCUCUAGCUGGUUUGAGAGUAUGAUCAACCACACUGGAACUGAGACACGGUCCAGACUCCUACGGGGGCCAUCAGUGGGGAAUAUUGGACAAUGGGCACAAUCCUGAUCCAGCCAUGCCGCGUGUGAGAAGAAGGCCUUCGGGUUGUAAAGCACUUUCGGCGAGGAGGAAGGGGUGUGUGUUAAUAGUACACACCUUUGACGUUACUCGCAGAAGAAGCACCGGCUAACUCUGUGCCAGCCGCCGCAGUAAAAC